rnacentral:rRNA from 1 species
CCUACGGGAGGCAGCAGUGAGGAAUAUUGGUCAAUGGACGUAAGUCUGAACCAGCCAAGUAGCGUGAAGGAUGACUGCCCUAUGGGUUGUAAACUUCUUUUAUAUGGGAAUAAAGUAUUCCACGUGUGGAAUUUUGUAUGUACCAUAUGAAUAAGGAUCGGCUAACUCCGUGCCAGCAGCCGCGGUAAUACGGAGGAUCCGAGCGUUAUCCGGAUUUAUUGGGUUUAAAGGGAGCGUAG